rnacentral:tRNA from 1 species
GCUUCCAUGGUGUAGCUGGUCAUCACGUAGGUCUCAUACGAUGUAUGUAUGACAUUGAGGGGGCAAAACCUCAAUGAUAUCCUAAGGUCCAGGGUUCGAACCCCUGUGGAAGCA